AACACAGAAAAACUGAAAACAAACAUACACAACAUACUCCUAUGACACAGGAGCUUGAUAUUAUUGCUCCCCCACUAUGCCCACCCAUCCUUGACCCUUUAGUCCAAAUACACUCAAAAAAUUUAAAAAGGGCCCCAAAAAGCCACACUCACUCGCUUACAACGCCUAACCUCCUCUCUCACAAAUAAAAUUUAGCACAACAUAUUAUUUCUUUAGACAAUUAGACAUUAAGCUUAUUUAUUAGAAUCAUUAUCGUUCUCUUAAAACUAAUUUCAACACGAACACAUAAAAAAAACUGGAUUAUUAACACCCGAACGAAAAACAAAAAUUGUGAGUCAAUACUCAGAUUACCUUUUUUUAUUACCCUGCUAGAAGCGCCAAUUUUGGCCAAUACAAGUACUUUAAAUUUCUGCCUAAAGGAGCUCACUUAGACAAAUCUUUUGGGCAUUUCAAAUCCUUGUCCCAAACAGAAAAAUCGAAAUUUUCUAGCUGUAAAAUUUUGAGGCAACCCUACACUCACUAACAAUAAGAUUUAAUGGGCAUUAAUUUUCCUCACAUUUGUAUCUUAAGCACUAUUUAUCUAACUACAAACAAUACGUUUAACUUAUAUACUAAACUACACACUAACAAACAAAUAUUUUUUAUAGCUUCUUUUUUUCUUUUGGUCAAAUUCGGAUUAAUUGAUGAAUUUCAUAUUUUUUUCUUUUUUAUUUCAGUGGUGUUUCCGUCAAAGGAAAAGGAACUUCAUAUGACUUUUUUCAGCGGGAUUUGGCUUUCUUUCUUUUCUUUGAUUUUUAGGUGGGAUCUACUGAUUAGCUUCCCGGAUUGGUACUAUCGCCUGUUCCAAGGGUUAUCCACUGGCAGUUUCCCAGGUCUUUUGGCCGUUUCCAGAACCUUUUCGUUGCCUGGAACCCCUGUGCCGCACCUGGCGAUACAAAAAUAAUUGUUGGGGAUGCCCGCUUCUUUUUCGUCCAAGUCGGAUGGCGUUGUCCAGUUGUGGAUUUAUGCGCGGCGUUAUUCCUAAAUAGAACACAAAAACUUAACACAACACAUCCGACAUAACACCACUUACAAAUCAACACUUACAAAUUGUUUAGAUACGCCACACAAAUAAAACACACAAAUUGUAACUGCCAAUUCAGUAUUUCCUUUUUAUAUUCACAAAAAAACAUUUAAAAAUUGACUGAACUGUUUCUGUUCCACACCACUUUGAAAUAAUGGCGCUUUUCGCCCUCUCUGUGCUUUAUAUACGGCCACCAAGGACGCUCAACCAAACUUUCCCUCUCUUCCAAGAUUUUCCCAUAAUUUCCCUGACAUUUAUUAUUUACCUUUAUCAGGUGUUCUACCUACCCACUAUUAUCCCCAGUGUUGUAUUUUUGCAACACAUCUCUCAUGUUGUACAAUACACAACAUGAAACUUGGCAUCACUUUUUAAAAUUUAGCCGGCCGCCCUGCGUAUCCGGUUCUCUUUUUUGGCUGGCGUUCAGCACGUUCGGUGCAUUAAAUUGCACAUUAUAAAAAUUUUACAAUGAGGAUGAACGCAACAAAACUUCACCACUUUAGAAAAAAAAUUAAAAAAAAAGUGGUGAUGUGCGUGAAUCCUUACAUCCAGUCGUAGACGGAAUAUAAAAUUGUGGAUUUAAGUAAGUUUCUCCUUUUUUUUUCGCCACCACCAUCUCGCGUGGAAUGACUACGCGACCAAACCAAAUUUCUUGUGUUUCAUUUUAUUCCUUCGGACAAAGACAAAUCAAAAAAAAUGCCAUGUUCAUUCUUGGGAGUCUCAUGUGUAAGUAUGUGUGUGUGCAGGCACGCUGCAUCCAUUGAAAAAAAAUUCCAUGCACACACACAUGCACGAAGUAGUUGCAGUCGUGUAAACGCACAUGAAGGGUGCGCAACGCCGUUCAUUCACCUACAUCGCCCAUUCAUGCCGUUUGUCGAUUUAUAAAUCCCUAUGCGACUUUGCCGUGUAUUGUUGCAGCUCAUUCAUCGGAAUCGGACAAACCAAAAACAGAAAUUUGGCGAAGUUGCACGCACUCAUCAAACAAUUUAUAACCAGGUCUCUAUAUUGUGCAGGUAAACGACCAUGGUUGUGUAUAAAAAUAAAGUGCAAGUGAUAUUUAAAAUUGGCAGUGCAUCUGCCUGAAACUUAUUUGUGCGUUAUGAAAAAAGUAUAAAAUUAAAUUUAAACAACAAAAAUAGGAUAUCCAAACGGCUUCAAAUCGCUGCAUAAGGAGUAAACUGCUGAUUGGCGUAUUUCAAGAACAUAAUUCAGUGGUGUUUCCGUCAAAGGAAAAGGAACUUCAUAUGACUUUUUUCAGCGGGAUUUGGCUUUCUUUCUUUUCUUUGAUUUUUAGGUGGGAUCUACUGAUUAGCUUCCCGGAUUGGUACUAUCGCCUGUUCCAAGGGUUAUCCACUGGCAGUUUCCCAGGUCUUUUGGCCGUUUCCAGAACCUUUUCGUUGCCUGGAACCCCUGUGCCGCACCUGGCGAUACAAAAAUAAUUGUUGGGGAUGCCCGCUUCUUUUUCGUCCAAGUCGGAUGGCGUUGUCCAGUUGUGGAUUUAUGCGCGGCGUUAUUCCUAAAUAGAACACAAAAACUUAACACAACACAUCCGACAUAACACCACUUACAAAUCAACACUUACAAAUUGUUUAGAUACGCCACACAAAUAAAACACACAAAUUGUAACUGCCAAUUCA